UUCCAACAGGUAUUUAGAUAUGAUCAGAGGUUUACAGAUCUUGCAGUUUGGAUCUCCAAGUAACUCUAUUUCAAUAACUAUCUAAUGGAGUUACUGAAAGCCUGAUCGUUGAGAGUGUUUGAAUCAUUUAGAUUCUCAGUCCAAUGAGUGAAAAGUUUGACAAUUUGUGAUACUACUGGCUUUGGCAGCUAUGCAUGAAAAUCAAAGCAUGUUUUGUUUCUUUCUUUCCAUAGAAUCCAUAGUCCGGUUGCCAGCAGUAUGUCAAGUUGAUCGCCCUGCAGUAUCAAUGGCAGUGGGUC
rnacentral:lncRNA from 1 species